GUGCGCGUAGGAGACGAGACGUACGAAUUAAAUCAGUCGAGGGAAGGAUAAACGUUAGAAAGGAAUUAAAGAGAAAACGAGAGUUUAUGUAAAAGAGAGUUAUAGAAUUUAUAGUGAUGUUUUGUUUUAAUUAGAAAAAUGUUGAGAGUUGUUUCAGAACGACACGUCAGUGGACGUGGCAGAGUGAACACGUGACGGGGAGGUGCUGAGACCUAGCGGAGAACGGAGGAACCGCAAGCGAGGGUUGGCGCACCUGAUGGAAUUCGGUGACGUCACGGGCUCAUACGGAGACGUGGACAGGCCGUGACCUUGUUUUGAUCAGCUGUACGGUAACUUAGCGAUAAGAAAAUAGACUAUUGGUUAAAUAAAUUUAAAUUUAAGUGUGUUUUAGGAGAAGAGGAACUUUCAGUAUAUUCCUUAAGAUGAGCUGAGCAGCAGUCCAGUUUACAAGAUGACAAGAGUUCGAGAGACAAGAUACAAGAUCACUGAAACAAGAGCCAAGACUGAAGAUUCAAGAGAAGAGAAAGCUGGCAGCCAUGGACUUACAAGUGGAGAUUAAUAAGGUCAUGUAAAGUUUUAUUUUUUUUUAUGGAAGACAGUAACUGGAGUUUUUUUUUUGUUAUAAACAUUAUUUACAGAACUUUUUAGGUUAUAGUAAUGUAAUGGAACUAGUGAGUUGUGGUAGCUGUCAAAAAGAACUAAUACCUUAAGUUUAAUUUUUAAAGUUAAUUUUCUUAAUUUACAGAGGGAUUAGUAGUUUUUUUAAACCUUAUUUAGGUUGGAAUUUAAAUACAAUAGCUUAUUAUAAAUGUGUACGAACAGUUCAAGUUCACAGUACUGAUAGGUAGGUCAGAUGAUCUUAUUGAUUUUGAUGAUUUGUUGUUUUGAGUUGAUUUUUAAGUGUUGUGAAUUAGACAAUGAAAUAGUUCUGAAAACUUAAAUUAUUUCAAGCUAAGAAAUAGUAAAGUUAAUUGUAACUCAAAGGACACCAGAAUUUAAUUUUUUUUUAAUUAGUAAUGUUUGAAAAUUUUAUACUUUACAAGAAAGGUUAUAAACAAACAGAUCGGAUGGAACAAGGAUGCAGUAAAUCACAAUUUCAUUUAGAAUUAUUGAUUAGCUUUUGAGGUUAUGAAGUAAAAGUAAUUAUAAUUUAAAAGUUUGAAUAAAAAAAUGUUUUUUUUAUUUGUUUGAAAUAGAAAAUUUAAAAGUUAAUUAGUCAUGAUCUAGGUGGGUGAUGGGGUGGGAAUUGGCCACUCUUUUUCCCUAUAACCUCCCUAACAUGGCCUUCUAUUACAACUAACAGAAAUAAAGAAGAAGAAAAAUGAAGAAUUAUUAGUUAGAAUGUUUCUUUCAUGAAGAUACCUGAUGAACUUUUACUGUUUGGAAGAAUAGAAGCAAGGUUAGUCAGAUAUUUUUACUCAGAAGAAGAAGAAGAUAAAGCAGUUUUAUGACUCGACAAGCCAGAGAUUGGUGUUUCCCCUCUGCGCUUCUAUUGACUACGUUGUUUACUCUCAUGGGAUAGCUGGUUCGGCACCAUGGAGAGAGAUUGGUGGGCAUUGUGGUUGCCCCCAGAAGAAAAGAAGAGUAGAAGAGGUUAUGGGUGGGUCAUGUGAACUGACCUUCAACCCAGUUACUUCGUGGGGACUAUUUGCUGUAUAGAGAAGAUCAAGACUCAAGAGUUAGGGAAAAUCAUUGGAGGUCAUGUUUCCCUUCCUUAAGUUUUUCCUAUCAAAUUAUUUGCCUGAUUAGAUUAUGCUAAGGGUGGGAUACUUUAUGUUAGCAGUUGAAUUAAUUAAUUUUAUUUUUUUGUGUGUUUGCAUCCUUGCCCAUCGAUUGCAGUUUAGUAGUUAGUUUUGUAUUUGUCAGGCGUGAUGGUAAUGCCUGUUGAUGAUGUUUCAGAAUUGUAAUCUGUUCGUGAUGAGGAUGGCACAACUCCGAAGCAGAUGUGGGGAGAAGUUGUGAGCUGCCCUGGAAGCCAGUCCAGUAGCUGUUGGAGUUGAGUGGUGUUUGCUGAUGGCCAGCCCAGGGAGCUACUCUUCUCGACAACACUGACUUCGAGGAGUUGCACCAACCUUCACGAGAUAAGAGUUUAAUUAAUUGAAACACUGUAAGGACACUUAAUUUUUUUUGAAGAACGAAAGAAGUAUGGUAAUAAACGGAAACCGAAAAAAAAAAA